rnacentral:rRNA from 1 species
GACGAACGCUGGCGGCGUGCCUAACACAUGCAAGUCGAACGGAAAGGCCCUGCUUUUGUGGGGUUCUCGAGUGGCGAACGGGUGAGUAACACGUGAGUAACCUGCCCUUGACUUUGGGAUAACUUCAUGAAACUUGGGCUCAUACCGGAUAGGAUCUCUUGCUUCAUGGUGGGGCUUGGAUAGUUUCGGCGGUUGGGGAUGGACUCGCGGCUUAUCAGCUUGUUGGUGGGGUAGUGGCUUACCAAGGCUUUGACGGGUAGCCGGCCUGAGAGGGUGACCGGGAACAUUGGGACUGAGAUACGGCCCAGACUCAUACGGGAGGCAGCAGUAGGAAAUAUUGAAAAAUGGGCGGGAGCCUGAGGCAGAAACGCCGCGUGCGGGAUGACGACCUAGGGGUUGGAAACAGAUUUCGCCUGUAACGAAGAGGGAGUGAAGGUAAUGGGUAAAGAAGCACCGGCUAAAUACGUG